UUGUAUGUGUGUUUGUGUGCGUGUGUGCAGUUGUACAGAAAAAACAGGAAUGCCCCAAAUUUACACAAGAUGCAAAUAUGGAUGAAUGUCUGAUUUUCAUGAUGUAAACUGGUAAAAUAUGUGAGGAGAAAGGAGAGGUUGGUAAAUGAAAUUGAACCUGACUUUUUGAUUGAAAAAUGCUGUAUUUCCCUCAUUUCCCUGCUGUUCCUUUCUCAGGCAGCAGCUCAGAUUUGACAGCCACAAUUAUGAAAUCGGCAUACCAAAGGCAAUCUUUUUGUUUCAAAGAGUUUUCUGAUAAAAUGGUUCUUCAAAAUGGGCUUGGAUUUAACUCUCCAUAUCUACCUCUUGCCUCCUGUAUUUUGGAAGGUUUGAAAACCACUGCCAGAAGAGUUCUGCCAGUGAUGAGGGUAAUCUGAGACUGAGGAGAACAUCAAGACUAUUUCCUACUCCCUGAUGGCUACUGGCAUCGUCAGGCAGGCUUUUAUAUAAAAGAAGCCAUCACUUGUGUCAGAGACAGUGCUUUGUAACAGGCAGUCACAGCCAACAUAAAAGGUACAUUAAUAUCUUGGAAGGAAUGACCAGCUUUCAGAAAUGAAGCCCAUGAAGCUCCGUGGGACACCAAAGAUUUGUCCAAGCCUCCCUAAAGCUACAUCAACAGAUCCCACUGAGUCUUGUCUGAGCACAAUACACAGAUUUUAAGCCUCAGCUUCUUGUUCCCUGCUACUAGAAAACUAGUGAGCAAGGCUAGUACUGUCUGACAAACUAAAAAUGAAAAGACCCUUUGCAAAAUUAAAAUGUUAAAUUUGUAAUUGGUAAUAUAGGGACCAAAAAUUAUAGUUGAAGUUCUGUAUUAACUCAGAUAUAAGAUAUAAACAGAUGACUCUGUGUCCAAUCAAAAUGAUUACACACCAUCUGAAUUUUAAAUUGAUUCCUAUUAACCUGAGACGAUUUUAUGGGAAUUUUUAAUAUAAAAGUAUUCUCAGCAGAAUUUGAAUAAUGAUAAUCAAUAGUCACAAGUUUUGACAAUUCUUACCCAGGAAAGUGCCUCAAUGUAUUAAACGGUCUAUUCUAUAAAACUUAUUUGCUUAGUUUGAUUGUGAAGAAGAGUAAAUAUUUUGGUUGUGCUGAGAGCUGUCGAACAGAAAUGAAAGAUGGAAAAGACAUGUUAGGUCACCUUGAGGCCAAAUUCACAGCUUCUGAAAGCUGGUAUAAUUCCAUUGACGUCAAUUCCUGUUCUUUUCACUUGGAUCUGUGGAUACGCAGCACCCCUGAAGUCCCUGACACCAUGUAUUCAAUUUGUUCCAUUUAUUUCACCACAAUUUUGAGUGCAGAGUCUUUUUGGCUGACUAAUAUGCUGAUGUAUUGGCUAAUGUGAAAAUAUAUGUUUUCUCGUUCCUGUACUACUGUACCUUUGCA
rnacentral:lncRNA from 1 species